rnacentral:tmRNA from 1 species
UGUAAAGACUGACUAAGCAUGUAGUGCCGAGGAUGUAGGAAUUUCGGACGCGGGUUCAACUCCCGCCAGCUCCACCA